UACGGAGGAUGCGAGCGUUAUCCGGAUUUAUUGGGUUUAAAGGGAGCGCAGACGGGAGAUUAAGUCAGUUGUGAAAGUUUGCGGCUCAACCGUAAAAUUGCAGUUGAUACUGGUUCCCUUGAGUGCAGUUGAGGCAGGCGGAAUUCGUGGUGUAGCGGUGAAAUGCUUAGAUAUCACGAAGAACCCCGAUUGCGAAGGCAGCUUGCUAAACUGUAACUGACGUUCAUGCUCGAAAGUGUGGGUAUCAAACAGG
rnacentral:rRNA from 1 species